UACGUAGGGUGCGAGCGUUAAUCGGAAUUACUGGGCGUAAAGCGUGCGCAGGCGGUUUUGUAAGCCAGAUGUGAAAUCCCCGGGCUUAACCUGGGAAUGGCAUUUGGGACUGCAAGGCUUGAGUGCGGCAGAGGAGACUGGAAUUCCUGGUGAGCAGUGAAAUGCGUAGAUAUCAGGAGGAACACCGAUGGCGAAGGCAGGAUCUGC
rnacentral:rRNA from 1 species